rnacentral:rRNA from 1 species
UGAGGGAAUAUUUGGGUCAAUGGACGAGAGUCUGAACCAGCCAAGUAGCGUGAAGGAUGACUGCCCUAUGGGUUGUAAACUUCUUUUAUAAGGGAAUAAAGUUCACCACGUGUGGUGUUUUGUAUGCACCUUAUGAAUAAGGAUCGGCUAACUCCGUGCCAGCAGCCGCGGUAAUACGGAGGAUCCGAGCGUUAUCCGGAUUUAUUGGGUUUAAAGGGUGCGCAGGCGGCGCGCCAAGUCAGCGGUCAAAGUUCCGGGCUCAACCCGGUGUCGCCGUUGAAACUGGCGUGCUCGAGUGCGUGCGAGGAAGGCGGAAUGCGUUGUGUAGCGGUGAAAUGCAUAGAUAUGACGCAGAACUCCGAUUGCGAAGGCAGCUUUCCAGCGCGCUACUGACGCUGA